UGGCCCUUGUCUCCAUCUUUAUACUCAGGUCACCCUCAUCCAUACGCCUCUCCACUACACUUCUGUGCUGCAGCUCCAGAGGCUCCAUACGCCUGAUGGCCAGUCCCAAUCCGGCCGUCUGAUAGUCACGGCUCGCCGCCCUUCCCAGAUCUUGGAGAGCUGCUGAGCAGCCGGUUGCCGCCUUGCUCUCCCUGCGGCCUGCUCUCCGGGUCCAGCUUUGCCGCCUGUUCUCCUGGCGUCCUCGUGCAGUUUCUCGCCUCCUUUUCUCGUUUGCUCCUCGGAUCCUCCUCCAUCACAGUGAGCCAAAGCAUGACAAAUUUUUAAUCUAGAAUCGAGUGAUCUUUGAGGAGCUGGCUUGAACGGCCACUUUGUAUCACUCGGUGACAUGAUUAUUCGUGGUAUAGUUACUUUGUCCCCCACAUGUGUUCCGGAGCAUUACUGGCAGUCCGACUUUGAGCUUCAGUUCGUGGUUUUGAAUCCCUGGGAACUUCAAGGUGUUGAGAAACUCCUUAGGGUACAUAUGCUCCAUGUUGUUUGUUGAUGCAUUGCAUACAGAGUCACAGCUUAGCAAGGUUACAGUCAGCAUUCGAUAUUCAGAUCUACUGUUGACACUGCUGAGUCAGGCUAGGGUCUUGGCUUGGCCACUUCGCUCAUCGAAGAGAAUAUCCACAAGGGCCAGUGCUGCUUCAGCUGCCCAGCCGGUACCAUUUCGCCUUUCAUAUGCUGAGGAUGCACUCAAGACCUUGUGUCUACCAGAAGCAUAUGCAGACAUCGUUCUGGACCUACCCCGUGCUCUGAAGAGGAUUUUCUCCUCCCAGAACAGCGACUGAAGUGCAUGUAGAUUUGCUUAUGAGACCUCAAGGUCAACUCAUUUGAAACUGAAAAAUUCCACUCCAAUUGGAAAUAUGACAUGCCAAAGGUUACAUGCAGUUUGAAUUUGAAGUUUGUCAUCAGUGCAUGAUGCAGGUUGUAAGGGUAGUAUAAUUAAUGGGGCAGAUGGUAAUUACAGAAGUAGAAUUAAUUAGCACAAAAUAGAUACAUGGACAAAUAAAGAAGCAAAUUGAUAUAAUAUGAUAAUAUCGUUUUUGUGUCUGUGAUAUAAUAAUAGGUACAGAGAUGGGCAUGGAACAUACCAGAAGUGUUAAUGGAGUAUGGUUUGAAUAAUCUGGCAAGCAAUCAAUAUAUGAUGUUGCACCAAGAUAUGAAUCGACGAGCGAGGCGAGAAAGCAAUCUGAAUUCAAUGGAAUUGAUUGAGUAAAAGUAGUUUAGAAUUUGUGCUGAGAAUAGUAUAAGAUAAUUGAUCGUACCUCUUGUCUGUUUCCUUAGAUGAAAAUUGUAUGAUUGAUAGAGAUUGAAGAAUAUGAUGGAUACAAUCAGUUCUCUGUUAAAUAUAAAGGUUAUAGAGGAAUUAGAUCACAAAAUUUAAGGACAAAAGUGAUAGGUAGAAAUAUAUUGAAAUAUAAUAAAACUGAUAAUACUUUGUUGAUUUUAUGAGGUGUUGAAUCACCGGUUUUGAAGA